rnacentral:rRNA from 1 species
GGAAGGGAUGUAUUUAUUAGAUAAAAAACCAAUGCCCUUCGGGGCUCCUUGGUGAAUCAUAAUAACUUAACGAAUCGCAUGGCCUUGCGCCGGCGAUGGUUCAUUCAAAUUUCUGCCCUAUCAACUUUCGAUGGUAGGAUAGUGGCCUACCAUGGUGGCAACGGGUAACGGGGAAUUAGGGUUCGAUUCCGGAGAGGGAGCCUGAGGAACGGCUACCACAUCCAAGGAAGGCAGCAGGCGCGCAAAUUACCCAAUCCCGACACGGGGAGGUAGUGACAAUAAAUACUGAUACGGGGCUCUUUUGGGUCUCGUAAUUGGAAUGAGUACAAUCUAAAUCCCUUAACGAGGAACAAUUGGAGGGCAAGUCUGGUGCCAGCAGCCGCGGUAAUUCCAGCUCCAAUAGCGUAUAUUAAAGUUGUUGCAGUUAAAAAGCUCGUAGUUGAACCUUGGGUCUGGCUGGCCGGUCCGGCCUCACCGCGAGUACUGGUCCGGCUGGACCUUUCCUUCUGGGGAAUCUCAUGGCCUUCACUGGCUGUGGGGGGAACCAGGACUUUUAC